rnacentral:rRNA from 1 species
GACAGCAGUAGCCGCGGUAAUACAGAGGGUGCGAGCGUUAAUCGGAUUUACUGGGCGUAAAGCGUGCGUAGGCGGCUUUUUAAGUCGGAUGUGAAAUCCCUGAGCUUAACUUAGGAAUUGCAUUCGAUACUGGGAAGCUAGAGUAUGGGAGAGGAUGGUAGAAUUCCAGGUGUAGCGGUGAAAUGCGUAGAGAUCUGGAGGAAUACCGAUGGCGAAGGCAGCCAUCUGGCCUAAUACUGACGCUGAGGUACGAAAGCAUGGGGAGCAAACAGGAUUAGAUACCCCCGUAGUCCCUGUCUCUUAUAC